rnacentral:rRNA from 1 species
AGGACGAACGCUGGCGGCGUGCUUAACACAUGCAAGUCGAGCGGUGAUCCUCCUUCGGGAGGUGAUCAGCGGCGAACGGGUGAGUAACACGUGGGCAACCUGCCCCCUCACACUGGGAUAAACCUCGGGAAACCGGGGCUAAUACCGGAUACGACCUCGAGCGGCAUCUCUUGAGGUGGAAAGCUCCGACGGUGAGGGAUGGGCCCGCGGCCUAUCAGCUUGUUGGUGGGUAAUGGCCUACCAAGGCGACGACGGGUA